UUAUUCUUUAGUAUAACAAACAUACAAAAGUAAAAAAAAAAAACCCUAACAACAAUUCAUUUGCUCAGCCGCAACUAGAGAGAGCUGAGGUCGCUCAUUCUCUCAUCUCAUACCAGUCUCUCUCUCUCUCUCGUUUUUCAUCGCCGAACGACCUCUGUCUACUCAUCGCCGAUCGAUCGAUCAACCUCUGGUUUGUCAUCGUCGAUCGACCUCUGUCUGCUCAUCAACCGAUCGACCUCUGGUCUGUCUGCUCAUCUCUAACUUUGCUUUCUCAUCGCCAAUCGACCUCUGGUCUGUCUUCUCAGUGCUCAUCCCUAACUUUGCUUUCUUAUCGCUGAUCGAGCUCUGAUUCACAGGUAUGUUUUUUUCACUCUAUUUGUUUACAGAUUCACAGGGUUCAUUAACCAAAUGCAUGGAAUUGAAAUUUUUAGAACUUUAUUUUAUUUUACAACAAUUUUAUUUUAUUUUUCUCUUGCAUUUUGGAAGAAUGUAAUAGUUAAUGAAGUUUGAAUGAUUUUAUUUUAAUUUUGGAUGAAUGUAUAUGUAAUAGUUAAGCUUAGGAUUUUGAAUGAUCUUAUUUUAAUUUUGUAUUAUUGCGUAGUAGUAGUAGUAGAUGAAGAAUGGAAAAAAA